GUAGGGUGCGAGCGUUAAUCGGAAUUACUGGGCGUAAAGCGUGCGCAGGCGGUGAUGUAAGACAGAUGUGAAAUCCCCGGGCUCAACCUGGGACCUGCAUUUGUGACUGCAUCGCUAGAGUACGGCAGAGGGGGAUGGAAUUCCGCGUGUAGCAGUGAAAUGCGUAGAUAUGCGGAGGAACACCGAUGGCGAAGGCAAUCCCCUGGGCCUGUACUGACGCUCAUGCACGAAAGCGGUGGGGAGCAAACAGGAUUAGAUACCCUGGUAGUCCACGCCCUAAACGAUGUCAACUGGUUGUUGGGAAUUCACUUUCUCAGUAACGAAGCUAACGCGUGAAGUUGACCGCCUGGGGAGUACGGCCGCAAGGUUG
rnacentral:rRNA from 1 species